AUUACGUUGUCCAGCCCCUCUUCCUGGAUUCACAUUGUAUUACGCUUCCGAAAUUGUCCUCGGUAAAUCAGUCGAAUUACAGAGAAAAGAGAGUAUAAGUAUACUUUCUCUCUCCCCACACCAAAUUCUUACCCUAAUCUUUGAAGAAUGGUGAGCUCAUGGGAUUUCCCCUCGUCGAAAACCCAGGUGCAAAUUCAAAUUUUCCCGCAACCUUUCUUCCAUCUCCUCUUUAAUGGUCUGCUCUUACUUCUUGGUUGUUGUAAAUCGUCGUAAUUUAAGAGGUGGUCUUGCUCAGUCGGUCGUUGAAGCUUGGCAAUUUUAGGUUGGUUAAUUACUCUCAAGCCCUAGUCGUCGAUUCUUGCUCCGUUUAGGAGGUAAAUGUCUUUUGUAGCACGUUUAGUGAUCGGGUUAGCUAUGAUUGUUGCUUUCUUUCCCUGCGAAAAGGCCCGAUCUAAGCAGUGGUCGGACCUAGCAAGUAUUAUUUGUCGUUGAUUUUUACUUUUUAGAGUGUGGUUGAAUUGGUGUUUUAGUAAGUAUUAUUUGUCGUUUCUAAUUUUUUUGGAAAUCCUGAUACGAUUGUGGCGAUUGCGAGAAUGACGGUGGAGGAUUCGAGGAAGUUAUUGUCGCCUGAGUUUUAUCCAUCUUUGAUAGUGUUCUCGCAGCACCAAAAGCUGGAAAAGAUCUGACCAUAUGGCAAUGAGUUUUAUUCUGCUCGUUUUUCCUGCCUGGAGUUGUAUGCUGCUGUCCACGCUCAUAGAGAGAGAUAGAACUUAAUAACAAAGAGACAUAACUUGGAGAAGAUAAUUUCAUGUAUUCAAAUGUUGUCCUAAAAAAUAAUACCAAACUUGUAUUUCUAUUGUUGAAGAUGGAACCAAAGGAAUCGUCAUGGAGAUGGGACCCAAACACAAUACUUGAUAUUAAAACUUAUUUUAGUGUUGCUCUUCCUGUGCAGAAGCAUCGAAGAUCUUAUAUCCAUUUUCAAAUUGUCAGCCUUACUGUAGUGAUGAUCGAGUAUUUUUGAAGAUCACAUCAUUCAGAUACUUUUUUUAGUUCAAUGUUUAAACUGGAGUGAUGAGUAUUUGUUGAAUACUUUGAAUUAUAGAUCUUGACACUCCAAGCAUUAUACUGUAUAUAAGAAUUGGAGAUAGUUCUCAAACUUAUUAUGAAGUAAUUUGUUUUAUACAUUCCACCAGUCAAUGGGUAUAUAUUCCCUCAUUUGCCCAAUGAAUGAAAAGUAUGGUAUUUACUAUUUUA